ensembl:lncRNA
AAACGUCUCCGGCUGUGAUCAGUAAUGAAGCCUUUCCUGGACAUAUGGCAUAUGGAUGUUACAUAUGGAUGUUUCCUCGUGCUUUGGAGCAAACUUUCGAACUCCUCAUGUCUGCGCUGUGUCUGGAAAGGCUGGAAACACCUCUCCAUCUUACACAGAGACCAUCACCAUCACGGCUCGUCUGAGGAGUUAUUUCUGUAUAUAUGUAUAUAGUUUCUUUAAAUUAUUGAGAUACACAGGUCAGCGUUUUCAGUGCGUCUUGCACUUUUCUUUAUUUCUUGGUGCUGGCCUGUUUUUUUGAUAUGACUGCAAGGAAUAGAAGACUGACUGUAUUAUAUAAUCUGCGCAAAAAUGAACCAAUAAUCCAUGAAGACGGUGCAAAGUGUAAAUUAUCAUCUGCUGCAUCUCAGACAUUGGCGAGAAUGAACAAUGUGAAGAGAAGUCUGAACAGACCAACGGCCUGCCAGAGAAAUCUUCCUCCAAGCGCUCCGCUUCUCCAUCCGUGGAGCUGCAGCUCAACCCUGGCCAGCUGCAGCUUGACGGUCUACCUCUGGGGGCUGGAGCUGCAGGCCCUGGUCUACGAGUGGCCCAGGUACGACUAUUGGACCGCAGAACCAGCCGCAGGCCAAGCAGCUGACCUGGGACUCCAAAUUCCAACACUUCAUCCACCCCAACCCCCUCAGAGGAGCAGAAUGAUGGAGAGGAGGAGGCAGCAGAGCCCGAGGAUGAAGUUCAGGGUGCAGAGCUCGAGAGUUCUACAGUUUCUGCUCCGACCCUGUGACUCCUCAAGAGGCCCUUUCAGCUCCUAAUAGCAGCUGCUAUGGAGAGAAACCCCAUUCAAUUUCAGCUGGAUUCAGGAUGUCAUCGGUCUCCAGUGCAGUAUCAUGUGACACCUAUCCAUCAAACAGAAGGCCUCAUCAACAGAGUGGGACUUUGAGCAGAAAGCAAAUACACAAUCAAGUGGACCAUCAGAGGACAUGAAAACUCAGGCCUCAUUAGAAAGGACUUCUUCCCCUGAUGCCUGCUCUAAAGCUUGCAGUACACCCAGUGACUCCCAGGGG